rnacentral:rRNA from 1 species
GACGAACGCUGGCGGCGUGCUUAACACAUGCAAGUCGAACGGUAAGGCCCUUCGGGGUACACGAGUGGCGAACGGGUGAGUAACACGUGGGUGAUCUGCCCUGCACUUCGGGAUAAGCCUGGGAAGCUGGGUCUAAUACCGGAUAGGACCACUGCCUGCAUGGGUGGUGGUGGAAAGCUUUUGCGGUGUGGGAUGGGCCCGCGGCCUAUCAGCUUGUUGGUGGGGUGAUGGCCUACCAAGGCGACGACGGGUAGCCGGGCUGAGAGGGUGACCGGCCACACUGGGACUGGGAUACGGCCCAGACUCCUACGGGAGGCAGCAGUGGGGCAUAUUGCACAAUGGGCGCAAGCCUGAUGCAGCGACGCCGCGUGAGGGAUGACGGCCUUCGGGUUGUAAACCUCUUUCAGCACCGACGAAGCGCAAGUGACGGUAGGUGCAGAAGAAGGACCGGCCAACUACGUGCCAGCCGCCGCCGUAA